rnacentral:rRNA from 1 species
GCGCUAAUAGAUGAGCCUAAGUCGGAUUAGCUAGUUGGUGGGGUAAAGGCCUACCAAGGCGACGAUCUGUAGCGGGUCUGAGAGGAUGAUCCGCCACACUGGGACUGAGACACGGCCCAGACUCCUACGGGAGGCAGCAGUGGGGAAUAUUGGACAAUGGGGGGAACCCUGAUCCAGCCAUGCCGCGUGUGUGAAGAAGGCCUUAUGGUUGUAAAGCACUUUAAGCGAGGAGGAGGCUACUUUAGAUAAUACCUAGAGAUAGUGGACGCUACUCGCAGAAUAAGCACCGGCUAACUCUGUGCCAGCAGCCGCGGUAAUACAGAGGGUGCAAGCGUUAAUCGGAUUUACUGGGCGUAAAGCGCGCGUAGGCGGCUAAUUAAGUCAAAUGUGAAAUCCCCGAGCUUAACUUGGGAAUUGCAUUCGAUACUGGUUAGCUAGAGUGUGGGAGAGGAUGGUAGAAUUCCAGGUGUAGCGGUGAAAUGCGUAGAGAUCUGGAGGAAUACCGAUGGCGAAGGCAGCCAUCUGGCCUAACACUGACGCUGAGGUGCGAAAGCAUGGGGAGCAAACAGGAUUAGAUACCCUGGUAGUCCAUGCCGUAAACGAUGUCUACUAGCCGUUGGGGCCUUUGAGGCUUUAGUGGCGCAGCUAACGCGAUAAGU